GAUGAAGAACGAGCGAAAUGCGAUAAGUAGUGUGAAUUGCAGAAUUCAGUGAAUCAUCGAAUCUUUGAACGCACAUUGCGCCCCAUGGUAUUCCGUGGGGCAUGCCUGUUCGAGCGUCAUUUACCCCCUCAAGCUCCGCUUGGUGUUGGGCGUCUGUCCCGCUUCGCGCGCGGACUCGCCCCAAAGGUAUUGGCAGCGGUCGUGCCAGCUUCUCGCGCAGCACAUUGCGCUUCUCGAGGCACCGGUGGGCCCGCGUCCAUCAAGCUCACCCCCCCAGUUUGACCUCGGAUCAGGUAGGGAUACCCGCUGAACUUAAGCAUAUCAAUAAGCGGAGGA
rnacentral:misc_RNA from 1 species